AACAUUUGAGGGCAAACGCUCAGUGACAUGCAUACCUGCAUGUGGACGUUAGAAAGACGCAGCACAGGGAUUUGCAGCCUGGAAGACAGCACCACACUGAGGUCGGGAAGCAAUGACGCCACCAUAAUCACCUGAAAGUUGGCGACAAUGGACACACCCAGCGAUGACAUCCAGCCCAGCCAGAGACCACUGGCGUUCAUCCGAAGAACCUGAGGCGACUCCUGGGACAGAUGGUCCCUGUAGUACUGCUCCACUUCCUUGUAACGCACAUACACUGUCGCAGCCACUGCAGGUAGAAAAUCAAAAUGCUAUGUGCAAAGACGCCAUGGACUCAGUUUCCCUGAACACAACAAAUGCUAAAGGACAAAAGCAUCACUUCUUGCUGAAGCAGCCAUGCAGUUAUAAGUGUAGCUAUCCCUCUCUUCAGUGUGAGUUCAUUGAACUAUACAGGGCUAGGUUCGACACUUUCUGCGCAAUGCCCUCAACAAACUUUUAGGUAGAUAAAGGGAUGGGUUUUCAUGUCCCAGGUCUGCACUGUA
rnacentral:lncRNA from 1 species